rnacentral:rRNA from 1 species
GACGAACGCUGGCGGCGUGCCUAACACAUGCAAGUCGAGCGGAGGUACUUGAGGAGUAAUCUGAGGGUACUUUAGCGGCGGACGGGUGAGUAACGCGUGAGCAACCUGCCUUUCACAGGGGGAUAAGGCGGCGAAAGCCGCUCUAAUACCGCAUGAGACCACGGUAUGAUGUACCAGGGGUCAAAGGAGCAAUCCGGUGAAAGAUGGGCUCGCGUCCGAUUAGGUAGUUGGUGGGGUAAAGGCUCACCAAGCCAAUGAUCGGUAGCCGGCCUGAGAGGGUGAACGGCCACAUUGGAACUGAGAGACGGUCCAAACUCCUACGGGAGGCAGCAGUGGGGAAUAUUGGGCAAUGGGGGAAACCCUGACCCAGCAACGCCGCGUGAGGGAAGAAGGUUUUCGGAUUGUAAACCUCUGUUCUUGGGGAAGAGAAGAAGACGGUACCCAAGGAGGAAGCACCGGCUAACUCUGUGCCAGCCGCCGCAGUAAUAC